CAGCAGCCGCGGUAAUUCCAGCUCCAAUAGCGUAUAUUAAAGUUGUUGCAGUUAAAAAGCUCGUAGUUGAAUUUCGGGAUCAAUACGUCGGUCGUGCUUCGGUACGUACUGGCGCCAUUGAUUUCUCCCUUCUGACGAACCAUGAUGUCAUUAACUUGGUGUCUUGGGAAAUCAGGACUGUUACUUUGAAAAAAUUAGAGUGUUUAAAGCAGGCUCACGCUUGAAUACAUUAGCAUGGAAUAAUGAAAUAGGACGUUCGAUCCUAUUUUGUUGGUUUCUAGGAUUGACGUAAUGAUUAAUAGGGAUAGUUGGGGGCAUUAGUAUUCAAUUGUCAGAGGUGAAA
rnacentral:rRNA from 1 species